UGUCUUACGGAGCCUCACAAGCAAUGGGUUACUACCUUGCUCUUAUGACGUUAGCGGCGGAGGGGAGAGUAACACGUGUGAACCCCGCCGCUAUUACUGGGAUAACUGCGGGAAAGCGGGGCUUAUACCGGAUAACUUUUUGAAGCGCAUGGUGCGGAAUUGAAAGGCCGCUUCGGCUGUCAUUUAUGGAUGGACCCGCGUCGCAUUAGCUAGUUGGUGAGGUAACGGCUCACCAAGGAUCCGAUGCGAAACCGACCUGAGAGGGUGAUCGGCCACUCUGGGACUGACAUCCGCCCACACUCCUACGGGAGGCAUAUUUAGGGAAUCUUCCGCAAUGGACGAACUCUGACGGAGCAGCGCCGCGUGAGUGAUGAAUGCUUUCUCCUCUUAAUACUCUGUUGUUACUUAAGAACAAGUGCUAGUUGAAUAAGCUGGCACCUUGACGGUACCUAACCAGACCGCCACGGCUAACUACGUGCCAGCAGCCGCGGUAAUACGUGGGUGGCAAGCGUUAUCAGGAAUUAUUGCGCGUAAAGCGCGCACACGUGGUUUCUUAUGUCUGAUGUGAAAGCCAACCGGCUCAAUCGUGGAGUGUCUUUGGAAACUGGGAAGACUUCUAGUGGAUACGAUGAUAGUGGUAAUUCCUUGUGUAACAGCUGAAAUGGCUAAAGAUAUGUGCACGAGCCACAGUGGGGAAACGCGAGCUUUCUAGGCUGUGACUGACACAGAGGACGUCGAAAGCCUGGGGAACCAAGCGGGAUAAAUACGCUGGUAGUCGACGCGGGGAUUCAUGAAUGCUGUUGCUAAAGG
rnacentral:rRNA from 1 species